GUAGAUGAUGACGUCGUCUUUCAACAUGGCGGCCGCCUGGUUUAACAACUUGUGUGAAAUGAAGCCUAGUUAAAAAAGCCACGUUUUUGGAGACGAGGGCAAAACGGAGCGGCGAGGGCCGUACCGAUGGUGAAGACGAUGAAGACGAUGACGGCCACACCCAGCAGCAUGGCGAGGAGGCUGAGCAGCAAAGAUACGCGGCCGUACCUCCGCGCUGCUUCCACGUCACCGUUGUUCAGCACUGAGCGAGACUGGCGGUGGGGCGGCCGCAGGUCAGAGGUCAGUGACAGGCAAAAAUGCACGUGCUCAACUGGUCAACUCAACUUCAUUGAUGAAUAUUUCAAUUCUUUCUAGAAAUAAAUGAUACUGUUUCUGCUAACAGACCAGAAACAAAAGUUUUUGUGUGCUAACGUGA